UACUUGUAAGCUUUAAACUUUGAUUUCAUUCAGCCCGUCAGCAAAAACCGUGUAAGUCGCGUUUCAACCGUCACUCUUACUGUGCGUCUGCGUUGAAUCGUUAAAUUUGCUGUUUUGUGUGUAUAAUUUUAUAGUAAUGAGUUCCAGAUCUAGAAAAAUGUUAAACCUUGUAUGUGGAGAAAGUAAUAAUACGAAAAAAGCGGGUGACUAUAAUAAUACCUACCCAGUCAGUGUAAAUGCGGAAGAAUCUAGCCCAUCGGAGUUGACCAUGAUAACAGUAGAGGAUCUUCAGACCUAAACGAAUCAGCCACUAAAACUGCAGACUUUUUGUAUGACGUUUUUUAUUUGAUUUUGGU